rnacentral:rRNA from 1 species
UUUAAAUGUAAAAUGUAUUGUUAAAGUAGUAAUAGUUAUGUUCUUGAAAUUUAAAGAUUUUGGCGGUAUUUUAGUCUAUUUAGAGGAACCUGUUCUGUAAUUGAUAAUCCACGAUUAACUUUACUUAUUUUAAAAAUUUGUAUACCGUUGUUAUUAGAAAAUUUUAAUAGAAUAAUAAUUUUUAAUAUUUUAAAUAAAAAUAUAUAUCAGAUCAAGGUGCAGUUUAUAUUUAAGAAGAAAUGGGUUACAAUAAAUUUAUUUAUAUGGAUUAAAGUAAUAAAUUCUUUAUGAAAGUGGAUUUAAUAGUAAUAAAAUUAAUUUAAAUUUUAUGAUUUUAGCUCUAAAAUAUGU